rnacentral:rRNA from 1 species
UCCUACGGGGGGCAGCAGUGAGGAAUAUUGGUCAAUGGCCGCAGGGCUGAACCAGCCAAGUCGCGUGAGGGAUGACGGUCCUAUGGAUUGUAAACCUCUUUUGUCAGGGAGCAAAGGGCGCCACGUGUGGCGUUUUGCGAGUACCUGAAGAAAAAGCAUCGGCUAACUCCGUGCCAGCAGCCGCGGUAAUACGGAGGAUGCGAGCGUUAUCCGGAUUUAUUGGGUUUAAAGGGUGCGUAGGCGGGAUGCCAAGUCAGCGGUAAAAAUGCGGUGCUCAACGCCGUCGAGCCGUUGAAAUUGGCGUU